UGAAAACACAUUAAAAUCCCGCUUCUUGUUUGACCUGAAUACCGCAGGGAGCAAAAGCUAUAAAACACCCACAAUGCAACUCUUUAAGUUCAGUUUCCACUGAGACCAUAUAUAGCUCCAGAAAAAAAUGUCAGAUUCAAGCACAGGUUCUGCUGGAGCUAUAAAGGCAAUAGACAAACAGUCUGUGCAUCAGACCUGAUCUGGAGAGGUGGUGUUGUGGCUGGCCACAGCUGUGAAAGAGCUGGUGGAGAACAGCAUCGAUGCUGGUGCCACUAAUGUCGGUGAGCUCAAGGGAUGACAGCAUGAGGAAGCAUUUGAGGUUUUGCUGCAUUUGAUCAUGUGGUUUGUUUUCAUACUGAUGUCAAGCUAAAAGGCAAUGGAAUAAAGUUGGUGGAAGUUUUCAACAAUGGAAAAGGUGAUGAGGAGCAAAACUUUGAGCAAGGAUAUGUUAAAGGAUAUGGAAAUCAUUGUCAGUUCAACCUGGGUUUUAUUAUGACCAAGCUGAAACCCGACCUUUUCAUAAUUGACCAGCAUGCCACAGACACAAUUUUGAGAUGCUACAACAGAAUACGGUCUUAAAGGGACAGGGACUCAUAGUGUAAGUCACACUCUGCAGAGAUAAGUGAAACUGGAAGCAGGUUUUUAUUUUAAAGCUUUUUUUUUCUUUCUUA